AUAUCCUGUGGGUAUGUUCUCCACGUUGCAAAUUCGCUCUUUAUGCCUCUUUGUUUGGGAGGCGUGUUGUUGUGUUCUGAUGUGGACCGACGGAUUCACAUUAAACUUCUAGAACAGAUCAUGACAGUGUUAAAAACAGCCUCAUCUGUGACCACACGCGUGUUGAUUGGCCAUGAAGACCCCAUGCAAGCUGAACCCAGAGAAGCGGCAUCCCCUCCACUGUGUAGACGCACAGCGAGGGCCAGGAUGUCACACAGUAACAGUAGCAGCUGUCUGUUUCCUCCGCCACUAACAAGGCCCUCUACACCCUGUCGUUCUGUCUGCUUUUGUUGUUGGUUUUCCCGCCGAGACCAACCCUCCUCUGUCUCUCUCACCCGCUAUCUUCCGGAGGCAUCAGUGUUCAUGGCUUUCUCAUUUUGUCAGAUCUUGUUGGGUCUCAAAACAGGAAAUUUGUUUUGCAAAUGGCAGACUUAUUAAAGGGGAAAUCGGGUUUGAUUCUGCUUGAGUUGACUGGCAAAAUGAUGACUAAAGAAGAACCGGAGACAGACUGUGAGAAUGUCACGUCGGGCCUGAAUUAGGUUUGGGUGAAACCGGCCGCUUUGAAGGUUGCGUUCCUGUCUGAUCUUGAUGAUGGAUGAAAUGUAUCGUAGGAAGAAAACGAGAGAAACUCUCGGAAACUCUAUGUGAGUCUUUGCCGUCACGGCAUCAGAGAGACAUUGAUCAAAGUCAGCGGUUGUUCAGGUGAGAUCAGCAGAGACUCCAGGUCUUGUGGCCUAAUGCUUAAAAAAUGAGACGAAUGCCCAAAAGGUUGUCAAACAAACCAUCAAAGGUUGUCAUACAAAGACGGUUCAUACUGGUUAGCUCCAAUAAAGACUAAAAAACACCAUGAAAGCCUUAUAGAAGUAGUCAGUAUUAAAUGUGAACUAUAUCCCAGAUCUUCUGAAGUCACAUGAUGGCUUUAUUUGAAGAGCAGACCCACAUUAAGUUCUUAUUCAGUUAAAAUGUCAUUAAAGUCAGCUAAAACUUAAACAUUUUGUAACACUUUCAUCAAAAAAAAAAAAAAAAAAUUGAGAUAAAAUAAACUUUAACUGAGACAAUAUAUAUAUAUAUAAAUCUUAUUUUGUUUCAGCUAGGUGCCAAGGCAACAUUUAGCAUUUUCAUAAAAUAACUAGAUAGCUAAAUAUUAAAGAUUAAUGAAUAAAAAUAAAAAUUAAUAAAACUAUAGACAUUAACAUAAACUUAUUAAAAAACAACAUGCAAAAAAAAAAAAAACUAAAACGUUAACUAAAAUGAAAAUGAAUCCUGUUCUAAGUAAAAAACUGUAAAUAAUCCUCAAGACUAACAUGAACUAACAAUUAGGAAUAUGUUAUUUACAGCAUUUAUUAACAUUUGUUAAUGUUAGUUAAUAAACAUCUUGUUCAUGUUAGUUCACAGUGCCAAAAUUAAUAUUAAUUUUUGAUCUUAUAACAUUUAUUUGUAAGAUUCAAACUAAGGUAAAUAAAUGAAGAAGUAUUGUUCAUCAUUAGUUUAUGGUGAAUAGUGUAGGUAACUAAUGUUAUCAAAUGAAACAAAUGAUAUUGUAAUUAAAGUGUUACUGGUAAAUUGAGGUAUAAAAUUUUGGUUACACUUUAUUUUAAGGUGUCCUUGUUACAGUGUAAUUAUACAUUUAAGUAAGUGUACAUUUAAGUGUAAUUAAACAUUUAAGUAAAUAUAAUUUAACACUGUAUAUGGGUAGGGUUAGGAUCAGAGUUUGGUUUAGGGUUAUUUGCAUGUAAUUAUGCAUAAUUUAUUGUUAUUAUAAUAGUUAGACAGUAGACUCCUAAAAUGCUGCUUAUUAAGAGUUACUAAGGUCGUUUUUAAGUUCAAGUAUGGGGUCAGAAUAGGGGAUCUAAAAUAUGGAAAAUAAAGCAUUAAAAUGUGCUUUAUAAGUACUAAUAAACAGCCAACAUGCUAGUAGUAUGCACGCCAAUAAGCAACUAGUAGAUGGUGAGAAUUAGACCUUAAAAUAAAGUGUUAUCCAUUAUAUUUGUAUCUGUUGAUUUAUUUUGCAGUGUGGUAGGAUCCUAGUACUCAAGGGUCCAACAGAGUUAGUCUGUACCAGAUACAUUAUUCAGGUGGCUAUAAUGGCUUAAUAUUUUAACUAUAUAACUAACUGUUUCUCCACCAUGACAAGUAGUCGACCAAAGAGAGGAAACUGUCCAUAGAAGAAGACACUUGUGUCAGCUAUAGCACCUCUUGUGGCCACACUGAGAAUGCAGCCUUACGCAAUGAUCAGUGAACCUGAGAGGCAGAGCAGAGUUUAUUUCAGGUCUUUUGUACAUUUUGGUGCUCAUAAUGUAAUUAUUAUCACAACACUCCUGUGACUCUGAAUUUUUUGAUUUCGACUCAUUCAAUCAAAUGAUUAGCUUCAAAAAUUUUUUUUUUUUUGCUUGAAAGCCACUGCCGAGACCUUUUAACUAGUAGUAAUUAAAAAUAAUACGAUUACAGAAAGCAUCCUGAGGGAAAUAUUUCUCAAGUCGCUCCGAUAACGAAACAGCCCUCUUUUAUUUUCCUAAUGUUUGGCACUCCAGGGCAUCGGCAGCUCAGGAAAUAUUUAGGCCGUAGAAUUUUAGGAGAAACUUUCACACUUCCAGAAGCUGUGAAACAGAGCGAGUGGGCGGAAAGCAAAAGAUUAAAGGAAGAAAUAAUUAAAGAUUGGUAAGAGAUCUGUGCGAUAUCCAAGACUGGUGAUACUGGGAACAAGGAAAGUGGAAAAAAGCAGAGAGAGGGAGUUUCUGGCCAGAGAAAAGUGAAUAAAACGGAGAGUAAGGCUUUAUCUAUCUGAAGGCUUAGUGUGUGGACGGAUAAUACAGUUAUGGAGGAAAAGAAGAGAGAGCAGGUGGGUGGAUUAAUGGAAACUGACGGAAAAAUGAAGGUGGCAAAAUCUGAAGCUCAUGUAAUUAGAGAUAUUGGGUUCCACGGACAGUAAACAAACACAGCUGCCGUGAAGACAGACGCUGGUGACGAGGGAAAAACUCUCAACUCGACAAAAUUUCUGCUCACCGCAGCUUAUUCUGGCCAUAAACUGACCAAUCACAGUUUUAGUUCUAAAAUGGCAUUUAGUGACGGGUUUAUUUGAAAUUGUUGAUACAGUAUUUACAACUUCUGAAAAUCGUUUUUUUAAAAGAUUAUAUUUGACAAGAAAAUGCUACUUUAGUUUUUCUACUUUAAAAAUUUAGGGUUGCGUUUUAGGCUUCAAAGUGGCAAAGGG
ensembl:lncRNA